AGAGACAGCAGCAGCCACGGUAAUACGGAGGGUGCAAGCGUUAAUCGGAAUUACUGGGCGUAAAGCGCACGCAGGCGGUCUGUCAAGUCGGAUGUGAAAUCCCCGGGCUCAACCUGGGAACUGCAUUCGAAACUGGCAGGCUAGAGUCUUGUAGAGGGGGGUAGAAUUCCAGGUGUAGCGGUGAAAUGCGUAGAGAUCUGGAGGAAUACCGGUGGCGAAGGCGGCCCCCUGGACAAAGACUGACGCUCAGGUGCGAAAGCGUGGGGAGCAAACAGGAUUAGAUACCCGCGUAGUCCCUGUCUCUUAUAC
rnacentral:rRNA from 1 species